GAUGAACGCUGGCGGCGUGCCUAAUACAUGCAAGUCGAGCGAACAGACGAGGCGCUUGCUCCUCUGACGUUAGCGGCGGACGGGUGAGUAACACGUGUAUAACCUACCUAUAAGACUGGGAUAACUUCGGGAAACCGGAGCUUAUACCGGAUAAUAUAUUGAACCGCGUUGUGCGAUAGUGAAAGACGGUGGUGCUGGCACUUAUAGAUGGAUCCGGGCCGCAUGAGAUAGUUGGUAGGGUAACGGGUUUCCAGGGCAACUAUGCGUAGCCCGCCUGCGAGGGGGAUAGGCCACAUGGGAACUGAGACACGGUCCAGACGACUACGGGAGGCACCAGUAGGGAAUCUUAGGCAAUGGGCGAAAGCAUGACGCAGCAACGCCGCGCGAGUGAUGAAGGUCUUGGGAUCGUAAAGCUCUGUUAUUAGUGAAGAACAACUGUGUAAGGAAACAUGCACGUCUUGACGGUACCGAAUCAGAAAGCAACGGCUAACUACGUG
rnacentral:rRNA from 1 species